UCUGACGACCAUAGCGAGUUGGACCCACUCCUUCCCAUCCCGAACAGGACAGUGAAACGACUCCGCGCCGAUGAUAGUGUGCAGUCCGCAUGUGAAAGUAGGUCAUCGUCAGAC
rnacentral:rRNA from 1 species